rnacentral:tRNA from 1 species
GGGGGUAUAGCUCAGUUGGUUAGAGCACUUGCAUGACACGCAAGGGGUCCGCAGUUCGAGUCUGCGUACUCCCACCA